UUCUCUCCAACAACCUUAGCUCUGUAACACUGUAGGAUUAUCCUCAUGAACUCUAAAGGAAAAUCCAAGCCUGCUGCAUAGCUACUGUUUCAAUCUUGGCAGCAGCAGAUUUUUCUUUUUUUAGCUAUCCGGAGGAGCCAAAGCUAAAGGUUGCAAUACUUCAGUCUUUUCCACUUCUUGGUGCUGCCGUUUGUAAAUCUCAGCAGCUGAGUCACACUUAAGCACCAGUCCUCAGGGGAUAAAUUCUCAUCAGACUUUUUUUUGGUUUAAAACUAGCAGGUUCAAGUGUUUUACAACUGUCAACAAACCACGUAAUGUAUAAAAUGAAAGUGGUGUACAAAAAAAUAACUGCAACAAGCUCAUGAAAUACUUUUUAUUUUAGUAAGGGUCAGGACAGAAGCUAAAACUUACCCAGGGAAGAGUUACUACUUUGUAAAGAACGCAUCACAACUCCCCUCAGGCUAGGUGCAGUAAAUGUCUGUACAGUCUCUCCAGGAUUCUGUAUUUGGAAGCUUCAAGAUGCCAGUGGUGUCACACUUCAGGCACUUAUCUUUUUAAAGUUUACAGAGGAUCUUCAAGUUGUUAUAAGCCACAUGUUAAGAAGUAUUUUAUAAAAAUGAACCAAAUAUCUGAAGAAUGUCCCAAAGGAGACCAGCCCACCUUAGACUGGAGUAUUCUUGUCAUACAUUUCAUAGGCAAAUUCUUCUGUAUGAGCUCUGUCAUUUAACAAGCCAAUAAAAUCUAUCUCCAGCUGGAACGGACCAUCUACUUUAUCUCCGAUUGUGAAUCCAAGGGUACUAAUCUAAUUAAAAGAUACAUAGAACAGUAUUUAUAAUGUUACAGUCAAACCAAAUUGUACCUCUCACUCCAUACUUUACAAACAACUCAUGGCCAUUUAUUUUAAACUGGUAUUUGUUCGAAAUGCAACAGCAUUUCUUAAGGCUUGAACACUUUUCCCCAUUUUUAAUACAGACCCCUGUAGGAAAUGGAUUCACAUUUGCCUUUCUACUGCUGGUUUUAUCAUGAUUGGGUUUAUAAACACAUUUUCUUAUAAAGUCAGGUACAAUUCUUUUGUGAGUUGGAAAGAUAAAAGAUCUAAUUAAGGACAGAAAGGAUCAUACUAAACCAGAUGUUUUAAAAAGCAUGAAACUUAAAUACUGAGUUUAAUAGUAACGCAAGGUUCUUACCCACUGUUUCCCAAUUAGAAUAAUGUUCUUAAAAAUAACAUUGUUUAUCCCUUUCCCUAAUGUUCUCCACCACUAUUCCCAUUUUAAAAAAUAGAAUUAUUCUAACUGCAGUAACUUCCAUAAAAAUCUGUGUGGCUCAGGCAUGAUUUCUAUUAGCCUGUGGCUUGCCCAAAAGCUCCUUCAGGUUUUAUAUGUUAUGAAACACUUUUCAGAGACUCCAGUGUUAACAGUUCUGUGGUAAAUUGAGUCACCAGUGCAGGCCACCUCCUGAACUCGAGCUGCCCUGAAGCCCUGCUAGAAGUGCAGGUCUGAGCAGUGCCAUGAUUUUAAGAACUGCUGUACCUUCAGGAAAAUAAUGUUGUGUCAGAUGAAUAAUUGUCCAAGUCUAAACAUAUAUUGCAAAUGUAUGUCAAAUAAACAAUAGAGCAAAGCUAAAUAAAUUAAAUGCAUUGACAUUC